GUGGGGAAUAUUGGACAAUGGGCGAAAGCCUGAUCCAGCAAUGCCGCGUGAGUGAAGAAGGCCUUAGGGUUGUAAAGCUCUUUUACCCGGGAAGAUAAUGACUGUACCGGGAGAAUAAGCCCCGGCUAACUCCGUGCCAGCAGCCGCGGUAAUACGGAGGGGGCUAGCGUUGUUCGGAAUUACUGGGCGUAAAGCGCACGUAGGCGGCUUUGUAAGUUAGAGGUGAAAGCCCAGGGCUCAACCCUGGAACUGCCUUUAAGACUGCAUCGCUUGAACACGGGAGAGGUGAGUGGAAUUCCGAGUGUAGAGGUGAAAUUCGUAGAUAUUCGGAAGAACACCAGUGGCGAAGGCGACUCACUGGACCGUUGUUGACGCUGAGGUGCGAAAGCGUGGGGAGCAAACAGGAUUAGAUACCCCUGUAGUCC
rnacentral:rRNA from 1 species